rnacentral:rRNA from 1 species
UACGUAGGGGGCAAGCGUUGUCCGGAAUCAUUGGGCGUAAAGCGCGCGUAGGCGGCCCGGUAAGUCCGUUGUGAAAGUCAAAGGCUCAACCUUUGAACGCCGAUGGAUACUGCCGGGCUAGAGUCCGGAAGAGGCGAGUGGAAUUCCUGGUGUAGCGGUGGAAUGCGCAGAUAUCGGGAGGAACACCAAUGGCGAAGGCAGCUUGCUGGGACGGUACUGACGCUGAGGCGCGAAAGCGUGGGGAGCAAACAGG